UACGUAGGGAGCAAGCGUUGUCCGGAUUUAUUGGGCGUAAAGAGCUCGUAGGCGGCUUAGCAAGUCGGGUGUGAAACCUCCAGGCUCAACCUGGAGACGCCACUCGAUACUGCUAUGGCUUGAGUUCGGUAGGGGACCAUGGAAUUCCUGGUGUAGCGGUGAAAUGCGCAGAUAUCAGGAGGAACACCGAUGGCGAAGGCAGUGGUCUGGGCCGAUACUGACGCUGAGGAGCGAAAGCGUGGGGAGCGAACAGG
rnacentral:rRNA from 1 species